UCUGCUGUGCGUGAGUAAAUUCAUUUCCCUGCACGGUCGCCACUUCCGGUGCUUUUCAUUCAAUCCUGCGGGUUUUUUUCCUUCCGGUCUCGCCUCCCUUCCACCUUCAAUGCCUCCUUUGACGCUUCUUGUACUGCAAAUCUACAGGUCAUCACAUUGCAGAUGCAUAAAACAGCAGAAUGCACCAUAUGGUCUGGUCAGUUGUUUAUCCUGGCCGUGGGUUCCUGUCUACAGGGAAGACAAGUAAGGAAAUUCCCAGCAUGAGACACUGGACCUCCAGGCAAAUCUGAAAGUCCUUCGAAACUUUACCUUCCUCAUUCAGAUUCAGCUAAUACUUUGUGAUUUUAUUUUGAACCUUGAGGUUGUUCUGCCGCGUCACUUUAGCAGCUACUUCACAGAGAAAAA